UUUCAGAGUGAAGAGUUACACCAAAAAAUUAUUCCAUAAGACAUUACUGAGUGCAAAUGUGCAAAAUAACUCAGA